UAUUUUAGCUGUUAGCAACAGGUUUGCGAUGAUUCUUAUUUCUCCCACAAUGCAUUCCAUGACAUCACAUGAGGUACUCGUUUUGAAAGCCGCCUUGAUACCAUUGAGAGAGACGACAAUUAACUUAGUGAGAGUAGCAGCUAGUGAGAGAGUAACAGUGUCAGAUAUAUAAGUAAAUAUAAAGAUAGAGAUAGGCUAUAGGGAGAGGGUAGAUAUAGAUAAAAUGGUUUACUACUGUGUUUGUGCCGGGUGCAAGAACUCCCGGCACAAACUUCCCCAAGGACAAAGGCGCGCAUGCAGCGCGCAUUUCAAGGAGGAGGAUUACCACUCAGGGGAUGCCAAGAUGGUCUCACUUGGUUUAAAGAGUGAGAGAAUGGCGAAGUUAAUUCCUACCGCCGUGCCGUCUGUGCAUGCAAACCUCUCUGCCUGCCCUGUCCGGAGGUCCAGAGACACCGUCUGCCGCAAGCGAGAUAUUGCCACGAUGUUGACGGACGCCUCACAGCAGGAGACCAUGGACAGUGUGAUACUGGGGAUCAGCCCUUGCCCACCUCCACUUCUGUACCAGGCUGGCUUUAGUCUGUUGGUUUGUGAUGUCAUCAUAUUUGAGUGUUAUACUGAAUUGGUCAUGUGUUUCAUUCAAGUUUCUUUUUUUACAUAUCUAGGUCUGUGUAUCUUUCUUUCUGUCCCUUUCAUCUCAUUUGGUGGUGGUUUCCUGCAUGCUGCAUGUUUUGUUUUGUCUUUGUGUGAUGUUGCUUUGUUUUAUACUUUGCACAAAAUCAUUACUUUUUCUCGUCUUUGUAAGUGGCAAUAAUUGUCGCUGUACCCCAUUCAAGGGGUGCUGCAUGUCUGCUCCUCUGUCUGUGUGCUUGGGUUUUCUUUUGUUAUUUGCAUGACAUUUCUUGUAUGUAAUUCAAAAUAAUUUACCAAUCAUUUUACCUGUGCCUUGUCAACCUCUGUGUGCGGUGUUGUCUGGCCUCACUGUGUGUCUUCUUGAUGUGCUUUUGCAUGUAUCACUGCAUGUAUGCAUGCAUGAAUGGGUUUGUGUGUGAGAAAGAGAACCAUCAGCUGACCCUCAGGUAAGACCACACCAUUGCAGGCCAAAGAAACAAGGUGCAAACGUUUCGCGUCUAGCCCUUCAUUAGUGUUCCUUGUAUGUUUUGUGCCUAACCAUUUUUUUUUAUAGAGAUUUGUUUACUUCCAACCUGUGUCUUUGUCCUUGUUCAGUAAAUGUUUAAAUGUUCAGUAACCAUUACAAGCAAUGCCAAUAAACUGUUUAAUCAAAA